rnacentral:misc_RNA from 1 species
CAUGAGGAAUUAGUCUCAACUCUGGCCUUCCCAAUACUUCACGAACAAGCUCUCGCUUUACAUAACUGUUCCCCACAAUUGUCUCUUUCCAGCUUAAUCGAACCUUUUCUGUAUGAUUUCCAAAAUCAAAAUAUGCUCCAUAUGAUGGAUCAAGAUGCAUCUGAUUGAGCAUUUCAAAAUCUGAAAGUAGCUUAGCUGUUGAACCAUAAUCCUUCCCAGACCCGUAUUCUUUCUUUAACAGCUGUGUGAUAGAAUUCAUGCAAUUUGCAGCAAGAAGCAUCCAGC